rnacentral:tRNA from 1 species
GGCCCGAUGGCGCAAUGGUAGCGCGUCAGAUUCCAGUUUCUAGUUACCUGAAGGUUGGGCGUUCAAAUCGCUCUCGGGUCA